GAUGAACGCUGGCGGCGUGCCUAAUACAUGCAAGUCGAGCGAACAGACGCGGAGCUUGCUCCUCUGACGUUAGCGGCGGACGGGUGAGUAACACGUGUAUAACCUCCCUAUAAGACUGGGAUAACUUCGGGACACCGGAGCUAAUACCGGAUAAUCUAUUGCACCGCAUGGUUCAAUGGUGAAAGACGGUUUUGCUGUCACUUAUAGCUGGAUCCGCGCUGCUUUAGCUAGUUGGUACGGUAACGGCUUAUCAAGGCAACGAUGCGUAUCCGACCUGAGAGGGGGAUCGGCCACACUGGAGCUGAGACACGGUCCAUACGCCUAAGGUACGCAGCAGUAGGGAAUCUUCCGCAAUGGGCGAAAGCUUUACGGAGCAACGCCGCGUGAGUGAUGGAGGUCUUGGGAUCGUAAUACUCUGUUUUUAGGGAAGAACAAAUGUGUAAGUAACUGUGCACGUCUUGACGGUACCUAGUCAGAAAGCCACGGCUAACUACGUG
rnacentral:rRNA from 1 species